UUAAAUACUUUGCAGUCUAAUAAAAUUUUAAAAGGUGUGUGGGGAUAUCAAGUGCAGUUCCUCGAAAUAAAGAGCUUAUUAUCCAUAGAUUAACAUUUUAGACAGCUGAUACAUUUAAAUACACCCGUGACAGUGUUCAUUAAUGAAUAAUCAUAAACGGUAGUUUUGCAUGAACUUAACGAACGAUUAUUGGGGUAGUGCGUCGUUGAAUAGUUUUAAGCUGCGUGAGUGGAAGGAAUCACUUCAUAAGAAUUGAUUUAUUUCGCAAUUACUAAGGAUAUAUUUUAUUGCUACCAAAAAUAGCAGCUAAAAGGAAAGGCACACUUUUUAUGUUGAAUCCAUACCCACUGUGUAUUUCGCAACUACUAAGAGUAUACCAUAUAUUACUGUAAACGAGCAGCUAAAAGGAAAGUCAUACUUUUCAAGUUGAGUCGAGAUCCAAGGUAAGUUGUUGUGUAAGUUUUAACAAAUGAAAAAUAGUUAAUACGUCGUUUUCAAACGAUUAUUGAUUAAGUGCGUCGGUGAAAAAUUUUAAGUUGUGUAAGUUGAAAGAAUUACUUCAAUCAAGGCGAUAAAUUAGUGACGAAAUUGAAAACCUUUUUUUAUUUGUAAGUUUGGUAGGUGUAUUUUCCAACUACUAAGGAUUACUUCUAUCAAAAAUAGACUUACUAAAAGGUAAGUCACACUCUUCAAAUCAAGGCCACACCCAAGAUAAGUUAUGUACGAUUUGUCUAAUAAAAAAUAGUUAAUAUGUCGUGUGUCCGAACGAACUUACGAUCAUUGAAUCGGUAAAUAUUUUUAAGCUACGUGAGUUGAAGAAAUCACUUCUAAAGAGGUGGUAAGUUGCAGAAAAGGGUCAGCUGUAUUAAAAGUGACGAAAUUAAAGUG